UACGUAGGGUGCAAGCGUUAAUCGGAAUUACUGGGCGUAAAGCGUGCGCAGGCGGCUUUGCAAGACAGAUGUGAAAUCCCCGGGCUCAACCUGGGAACUGCAUUUGUGACUGUAUAGCUAGAGUACGGUAGAGGGGGAUGGAAUUCCGCGUGUAGCAGUGAAAUGCGUAGAUAUGCGGAGGAACACCAAUGGCGAAGGCAAUCCCCUGGGCCUGUACUGACGCUCAUGCACGAAAGCGUGGGGAGCAAACAGG
rnacentral:rRNA from 1 species